CUCUCUCUCUCUCUCUCUCUCUCUCUCUCUCUCUCAUGCACCCCACGGUGGCGUCAUGCCCUCAAGUAGGCUCACCAGCUAAUCCCCUCGCUCACAUGAGAUUAGGGCCCGACCUGAUGGUCCUUCCCUCGCUUUGCGACUCUUCCUGGAUAGAACAGCCUCUCCCUCGCUUAGAAAAAUGGAAACCGACACUUCCUCUGUGGAUAAAACAGCCCAAGUUUUACCAUCCUUUUGACAGCCAAGCAUGGUUGAGGGAUCAGUACGUGCUCAGCUUCCAUCUCCUAUUUAAAAUUUCAUCAAAAGUAGAUCC
rnacentral:lncRNA from 1 species